rnacentral:rRNA from 1 species
CGAAGGGUGCAAGCGUUAUCCGGAUUCAUUGGGUUUAAAGGGUGCGUAGGCGGGGCAAUAAGUCAGUGGUGAAAUCCUGCGGCUUAACCGUAGAAUUGCCAUUGAUACUGUUGCUCUUGAGUAGGCUCGACGUGGGCGGAAUGUGCCGUGUAGCGGUGAAAUGCUUAGAUAUGGCACAGAACACCGAUAGUGAAGACAGCUCACGAGGGCCAAACUGACGCUGAGGCACGAAAGCGUGGGGAUCGAACAGGAUUAGAUACCCUGGUAGUCCACGCCGUAAACGAUGAUCACUCGUUAUUGGCGAUAUACGGUCAGUAACCUAGCGAAAGCGUUAAGUGAUCCACCUGGGGAGUACGAUCGCAAGAUUG